rnacentral:lncRNA from 1 species
UCGUUUGUGGCUAGGUUGGGAGUUUUUCUCAGCUGUUAUUAACACAAACCUGGAAAAAGAGACCUAAAUAAGUGAGGAUUUCCCCUAGAGAGUAAAAGUCUUCUGGAUGGAAGGAUGGCACCGUGUUCCACGGUACCAGGGAGAAAGCAGUCCAGAUUUGCCCAACUCGGGGACUUUGGUGGGGACUUGCUCCCUAUGCGGUCAAAGGGUGGCUCUUUGCUUCUAGAAGUACGUGCUCCAUGCAGAAAAAGCCCAAGGACAAAAGUUUGCCAGUUUUAUCUCCUUUCUAACUUCCCAGAGAGUGUCCUUUUAAGGAGCCUGCCUGGAAGUCCCAAACAAAACCUUCCCCAUUUUCCCCCUCAGUGGCCAAUGAAAAGCUGUUUAGGAAUCAGCAUUUUCUUUUAAACUUAUUUCUUCAACCAGGAUUCUGUAGAAAGAAAUAACCAAUGCUAUGGAGGGCUGAGUGAGGUGGGAGCUUAUAGGUAACCAGAAGACUGGCUGUGCUGGCUGCCAUUUACUGGCUCCGUGCUAGCAUCAGGUCUGCGGGCUUUGCAUUUUCUGGUUGUUUAAUCUUUACUGAAUACUAAGAAUGAAGUCAUGAAGAUGAAGCAAUCAAAAGACUCUUGAUGGUGGAGUAGCAUGUUAAAGGUAUCUGAGAGCUGUGGUAAGAACUCGAAGCCAGGUCUGCCUGACUUCUAGGGUUGAUUUUGGAAUGUCAGCCCUGGAACUCCGGUCACCUACUGAAGCUCAAGCAGAGUUAGGGCAGGAGCUUAAUUAAAACUUGCUCAGUGGCUAACUAAAUAAAUGCAAUUCCUCACUUUUCAUAACCGUUAAAAUAUUGUGCAGCAUUAAGCAUACAGCCCGUUAUAUUACACUACAUGUUUUCUUUUUGCUUUCUUGAUAGAAUGAUAUUUUAAAGUUUUCUAUAUCAAAUCGAUCUGUUUUCCUUUAAGGCUUCUUCCUUUGCUUUUAUGUUUAAAAAUUGUUCCCCACACGAUCAACCAAAAGCUAUGUGUACAAUUCUUCUGCCGCUUUUAUAGUUUACUUUGUAAUUCAAAGUCAAGUGGGGAAACGCAGGAAAGGGUAAGGCUUUUGCGCACAUGUCCCAUUUCCCAGGUUUGGGUGAGUGUUUCAAAACUGGAUGCUUAUAUGUUUGAAAUGUUUAUCUCAGGAACUGAUUUAAAACCCAUAAGUUAGGGGAAUUAAAACUUUCCACCGUAUCCUCAAUGUGCAGUGCACAUGUAACUGAUCUGCAGUUGGUAAUCAUGUCAAAACGUGUCAGCUCAUUUCAUGUUCUUUUAAGCUGUCCUUUGAUUAAGGGAGCGCUGUAUUAAUGCAAGGAAGCCUGCAGCCAAAUCUACCUCUGAAUUAUUAGCACCUGGUGAGAAACGUCCUUCCCAUUCUAAACAUCAGUUCAUCAUGGCUUAUUUGUAAUUCACUUGAUGAUUUUGCUAAAACAUCAUAUCAACAUGUGACUAAGUCUUUAUGCUAAGGCUUUGUUCUUCUAAAAUGGCAGGAAAUAUGAACUGCCUGGCAUGUCCUUAAUACAAGUGGGUGGCACUAAACUGAGAUGAUAGACCACCAGUUGUACAUGCCUUCUUUGUGAUGGGGAACAUGACGUCAUUAACAUUCAUCUUGCACCAAUGGGUCUUAGUUUUCUAGCCUAUAGAAAUUUUUGUGAACUUUGCGAACCAAUCAUUAGAAGAUAAACACUGUGGUCUGGAUGUCCUCAAAUGUCUUGUGAAUGGCUAGAUCAUAAAUAUUUGGGGGUUCGUCAGCUCUGUGAUGUUGACUGCAGCCACUCAGCCUCGUGUGUGCAGUGGUAAUACACAAUACGUAAACAAGUGUGCGUGUCUGAGUUCCGAUCAGACUUCAAGCUGUCUAUAGGAUUUGGGUUUGGGGUUGUCUUUUGCCAAACUUAUGAGUGUGUAGUCUCAAAGCAUUCAUCCCUCCACAAUAAUCUCUUAUCCAAAAAGAAGGAGUAAGUCACAUCCUGGGAAAUAUUAAACAAAUGCUUGUGUCAUUGGUACACAAAGACUUGAGUAUCUUAAGGACAUUAUUAGGAACAGUUUGUGCCCAUUAGUCUCUUCAAGCUUCUAUUACAUUAUGGCCUGAGGUUUCUUCCCCGACAAGUCUAUUUUCUGUCUGAGAACUGCAUAGAAUUCUUAGUUCCAGCAUGUGGCAGGCACACAGGCAGGAAAGCAUAUGGACACCAUCCAUUUCUUUAAGAGCUCUAAACUGUAAAUGUGAAUGGUCUGCUUUACUGCAGGUUUACAUCAUGAAGGGGACAAACACUGACUUGUCUUCUGUCGCAAUACUUUACAAUGCACUAAAUCAGAAUGUGUGACAGAAAUGUUGGCUCCCCUUUUGUGGGAUGGACUCUCUCAUGGUGCAGAUGAACCUGCGUGUCACUCUCGGAUAAGAUGUCAUCAAUCACAUUUAAAAAACCCAAUUCAAUCUUAGAAAGUGUACAUUUUAUAUGGAUACAUUUCAAAGUAUUUGCAUGUGAAUGGAUAAGUAAUUUGUAUGUACAUGUUCAAUGCUGUCUUUCAAAACCUGUCUCUUGAAGAAACCAAAUAUCCCACAUAUUUACUCCUGCAAAAUCUCAGAGCUGAGAGGAGUCUACAGUUUGUGCUUUGAAAUACUUCAGAGCCUGCCAUAGGUUUUUGCUCUUUCACUUUGUUUGUUUUUUCAGUCGUGGUAGGUACUUUGUUAUUUUUUGGCAGUUGGCUUAUUUUUAGAAGUGCACCCAAAACAACAGGAGAUAAUACACACUGAAUUUUUAUUCAGUAGUGAUUUAGAAUAUUGUAAUAACUGAUUGAAUUUUUCACUAUCUUGCACUGCAAAGGAUUUUCAGUGUUUUAAGCAACAGGGUCAUUGAAAUAUGUAUUGCUCAUAAGGUCAAUUUGAACAUGAAAUAAGGUCUAUUUGAGAAGUCUCAUUACUAUAUUAUUAUGCCUUGUUAAAACAUACCUCAUAUUAUCUGAAGGGAAAUGUGGGACUAGAGAGUUAUCUCAACAGUUAAGGACUCAAACUGCUCUUUCAGUGAAUCUGAGUUCAGCUUCAAGCACUCAGACCUGGCAGUUGAGAGCCCAGUAUAACCACUCCCAUACCUCCACUUCAGAGACCCUAACACCCUCUUCUGGCCUCUACAGGUACCUGAACACAUGUGCACACAGUAACAUGCACACAUACUUAU